rnacentral:tRNA from 1 species
AGGCAAUUAGCUCAGAAGGUAGAGCAUUUCGUUUACACCGAAAUUGUCAACGGUUCAAAUCCGUUAUUGCCUAC